ACAAUGGUACUCCUGCCCAGCCACAGCCCUGCUUGACCGCAGGAUCAUGCAAUGGGGGCAGCUCGGAGAGAUCCUCGGAGGGGUGAGAUUCCCGUGG
rnacentral:ncRNA from 1 species